rnacentral:rRNA from 1 species
CCUACGGGUGGCAGCAGUGGGGAAUAUUGCACAAUGGGGGAAACCCUGAUGCAGCGACGCCGCGUGAGUGAAGAAGUAAUUCGUUAUGUAAAGCUCUAUCAGCAGGGAAGAAACUGACGUUACCUGGGUAAGAGGCCCCGGCUAACUACGUGCCAGCAGCCGCGGUAAUACUUAGGGGGCAAGCGUUAUCCGGAUUUACUGGGUGUAAAGGGAGCGUAGACGGCAGUGCAAGUCUGGAGGGAAAGCCCGCGGCCCAACCGCGGGACGGCAUUGGGAACUACCGGGCUGGAGUGCCGGAGAGGUAGGCGGAAUGCCUAGUGUAGCGGUGAAAUGCGUAGAUAUUAGGAGGAACACCAGUGGCGAAGGCGGCCUACUGGACGGUGACUGACGCUGAGGCUCGAAAGCGUGGGGAGCAAACAGGAUUAGAUACCCUUGUAGUC